CUACGGGAGGCUGCAGUGGGGAAUAUUGCACAAUGGAGGAAACUCUGAUGCAGCAACGCCGCGUGGAGGAUGACACAUUUCGGUGCGUAAACUCCUUUUAUAUGAGAAGAUAAUGACGGUAUCAUAUGAAUAAGCACCGGCUAACUCCGUGCCAGCAGCCGCGGUAAUACGGGGGGUGCAAGCGUUACUCGGAAUCACUGGGCGUAAAGAGCAUGUAGGCGGAUAGAAAAGUUGGAAGUGAAAUCCUGUGGCUUAACCAUAGAACUGCUUCCAAAACUCUCUAUCUAGAAUAUGGGAGAGGUAGAUGGAAUUUCUGGUGUAGGGGUAAAAUCCGUAGAGAUCAGAAGGAAUACCGAUUGCGAAGGCGAUCUACUGGAACAUUAUUGACACUGAGAUGCGAAAGCGUGGGGAGCAAACAGGAUUAGAUACCCUUGUAGUC
rnacentral:rRNA from 1 species